rnacentral:rRNA from 1 species
GUGCCAGCCGCCGCGGUAAUACGUAGGGUCCGAGCGUUGUCCGGAAUUAUUGGGCGUAAAGAGCUCGUAGGCGGCUUGUCGCGUCCGCUGUGAAAGUCCGGGGCUUAACUCCGGGUGGGCAGUGGAUACGGGCAGGCUUGAGGUAGGUAGGGGAGACUGGAAUUCCUGGUGUAGCGGUGAAAUGCGCAGAUAUCAGGAGGAACACCGGUGGCGAAGGCGGGUCUCUGGGCCUUACCUGACGCUGAGGAGCGAAAGCGUGGGGAGCGAACAGGAUUAGAUACCCUGGUAGUCCACGCCGUAAACGUUGGGCGCUAGGUGUGGGGACUUUCCACGGUCUCCGCGCCGUAGCUAACGCAUUAAGCGCCCCGCCUGGGGAGUACGGCCGCAAGGCUAAA